AGAGUUUGAUCCUGGCUCAGAACGAACGCUGGCGGCGUGCCUAACACAUGCAAGUCGAACGAGAAAGGGGCUUCGGCUCCGAGUAAAGUGGCGCACGGGUGAGUAACACGUAGGUAACCUGCCUCUAAGAUUGGGAUAACUUGUCGAAAGAUGAGCUAAUACCAAAUAAGACCACGGUUUCCUCGGGGACAGGGGUCAAAGGUAGCCUCUAUUUAUAAGCUAUCGCUGAGAGAUGGGCCUGCGUACCAUUAGCUAGUUGGUGAGGUAACGGCUCACCAAGGCAAAGAUGGUUAGCUGGUCUGAGAGGAUGAUCAGCCACACUGGAACUGAGACACGGUCCAGACUCCUACGGGAGGCAGCAGUGGGGAAUAUUGCGCAAUGGGCGAAAGCCUGACGCAGCAACGCCGCGUGAGUGAUGAAGGCCUUCGGGUCGUAAAGCUCUGUCGGAGGGAACGAAUGCUCCAGAGGUUAACAGCCUCCGGAGGUGACGGUACCCUCAAAGAAGA
rnacentral:rRNA from 1 species